rnacentral:rRNA from 1 species
UACGAACGCUGGCGGCGUGCUUAACACAUGCAAGUCGAACGGACAGGCCCUGCUUUUGUGGGGUGCUCGAGUGGCGAACGGGUGAGUAACACGUGAGUAACCUGCCCUUGACUUUGGGAUAACUUCAGGAAACUGGGGCUCAUACCGGAUAGGAGCUCCUGCUGCAUGGUGGGGGUUGGAAAGUUUCGGCGGUUGGGGAUGGACUCGCGGCUUAUCAGCUUGUUGGUGGGGUAGUGGCUUACCAAGGCUUUGACGGGUAGCCGGCCUGAGAGGGUGACCGGCCACAUUGGGACUGAGAUACGGCCCAGACGCCUACGGGAGGCAGCAGUGGGGAAUAUUGCACAAUGGGCGGAAGCCUGAUGCAGCAACGCCGCGUGCGGGAUGACGGCCUUCGGGUUGUAAACCGCUUUCGCCUGUGACGAAGCGUGAGUGACGGUAAUGGGUAAAGAAGCACCGGCUAACUACGUG